UACGGGGGGGGCAAGCGUUGUUCGGAAUUACUGGGCGUAAAGGGUGCGUAGGCGGCUUUCUAAGUUGGAUGUGAAAACUCUGGGCUCAACCCAGAGCCUGCAUCCAAAACUGGAGAGCUAGGGUUCUGGAGGGGAAAGCGGAAUUCCUGGUGUAGCGGUGGAAAUGCGUAGAUAUCAGGAGGAACACCUGCGGUGUAGACGGCUUACUGGACCGUAACUGACGCUGAGGCACGAAAGCGUGGGUAGCAAACAGG
rnacentral:rRNA from 1 species